CAGGUGCAGCACCUGCAGAAGGUUCUAACCAAAAAGAGGGACCCAGUGUCUCGUGUGCUUUAUUGAUGAGAUUAUCAAGGAUGGGCAGCCUGACAUCUUGCACACCUUCUGGAGUUCAGUCACUCAGACGCUCUCCGAGGAGCUGCAGAAAGCCACAGCUGCAUCAACCUUCCUGAAGCAGGCCCUGGAGGGAGAGUAUCCCAAACUCUCGAGGCUGUAUAAUGAGCUCUGGAAGAGGCUCCAGCAGUACAGAUCAAGCAUACAGGGGGCGCUAGUGAGCAGUGGUGCAGGUCUAGAUGUGGACCUGUCAGUGAUGCUGAAGAUCUGACUAUGAUCCAGAGAAGGAUCUGAAGGACUCUCUUCAGCCAUAUGAAGCAGCUUACCUGUCCAAGUCUCUUGUGUGACCCCAUCAAUCUUGAUCAGAAACCCACCUUCUGAUGAUGAACUUGACAGCAUCAUUAAAACAAUAGCCAGGUACUCCUCCAUUAUGCAUAGUGUAUCAUAACUCUGUUCCAUCAGUAUGUGGCCUUCUAAUGCUGCUUUUCAAUUGCAUGGUGCAGCUCAUUUUUGGGGGGUUUUGCAUUGAGUACAGUACCUGGUAUUUGUUUUGAUACCACCUCAGUCACUGAAAUGUGACGUGUUAACACUGCAGAUCACUGAUUGGUCAGAGAAUCUUCACUUCCAGCAUCAUUGGAUUUGUGACACGAGACACUAGAUUUAAAUAGUCAGCAUCCGCCACAGCAUUAUCAUUUGUUUGCAUGUCUUUUUUUAAACGAUUUGCUUUAAACGACCAUUGCACUAUAAUAAUCUAUAAUCCCACCAAUUUUGAAGUGGUUCGAAACUGCAGUGGAAAAGCAAACCGAGCCAAAGUAAAGCAAGCAUCACACUGUGAAAAGACGCCAUAAGAAAGCUCAUUUUGAGCACAGUGUUAAGGAAGUAUUGCAUGUUUCCAUGAAGAAAAGAAUCCAAUAAUGCACUGGAAGCAUUUGGAGUCAAGAGAAAUAGAUAUAGUUACACUUCAUAUAAUACUAAAAUUACUAAAGGACUAAUAAUGGACUUUUGAUUACACUUCUGAUUGUUUUUAUUGCCUGUAACAGUUGAUACCGUUAUGUUGUUUUUGCACGUUAGUGAGCUAAUUGUUGCAUCAGUGGAUUCCAGCCUAACGAUCGCAGUGGCCAAGAACGCCGCCAAGACUGUGCAGCUUUUCUGCGUCAAGUCAGAGCAGUUGGUAAGACACACACAGAGAUAAUGAGCUAGGCUGAGCGGGAGGCUGUCUGCUCUCAUGCCCCUCAACACUGCCAGGGAGGUGACACACACGGCUCAUAAUGAGAGCCGAGCCAGGGUGGGGUUCAUUUCAACAAGCGUCAGAGAAUCAGAGCACCUUCUGUGAGCCGUGACCUGGACAAGAGCAGGGCGGAUUUCACCCUAUACCUAUAGAGGUGCUACUUGAUUUGGACUUUUAAUAGAAGCAACACAGGCAAAGGUGAGAUCGAGCAUGCAAUGCAAUGUAGUUCGAGGACAAAUCAGUUUGCAACACAAUAUUCAUGCUCUUAGUUUCCUAAAUGAACUUCUCUGCUCUUAUAUUGUGGCUGAUAGAUGUGUGCUAAGCUACUGGUCAGAGUGGCUCGAAUCACAAUCUCUUUUAUCAGUAGUGAUCCACAUUAAGCCAUCACAAGAUUUACAGUAAGAUCCUUAAUCACUUAAUGGUAGCAUUUUACUUACAGCCUUUAUGCAUUAGAAAAAUAGUUUUAUUGCAUUGAUUAUGCACAUUAUAUGCAUUGUACAAUCUCAUGAAUAAUUGUGACCAGUAAAUGCAUUAUAACACUUAUCUAUUCAUUGUUGCUCUAUGCAUUUUAAAUUCAGAUGUAAUUAUUUACGACAAGAUAUAAUGUAUGUACAUUAUGAAUAAUUAUAAUGCAUUAAUAACCCUUUAUAAUCCAUUUCACUUUAAAAGCUUAAGUAGAUCUAUAGAGUUUGAGUUAACUACAAAGCCGAGAUAGCUUUACAAGUGAGUGAUUCCUCUCAUUCCUUAAUUAUUCUCAUUUCAGUUAAUUGUCACCUGCUCUCCAAAGAUUAUGCAGCUGACCUCUUUAGUGCAAAACAAUAAUUUAAAGACAACAUGGAGUCCACAUUUACCAUGUUUAUCUCUGUUGACCUCUCAUAUCCUUCCUGCUGUGAUAAUGGAAUGGGUCUUAAACCAACUCCGAUCUACAGAUUUCUGCAGAGUGCACUUGCAGGAGAAUGAUUUCCAAAAUAUAGAUGAUAACCUCAGGCUUGAGAGAAUUUCUCCGAAUGAUUCAUCCGAGCUGAUUAUCAUUGGCACAAUCCAAUCAGUUGAUCCCAUUGAAGCAGUCAUUGCCAGCUUUCUUCAGGACUAUUCUUUAGUAAUCUUGUAUGGUUUGUGAAAAAGUGAAAAUCCUGUCAUUUAUUUGUUCACCCUCAUGUUGUUCCAAACCCAUAAGACCUAAGUUCAUAUUUUUUAAACAAAUAAAAAAUAUGGAAACAAAUGAAUGAAACCUGACAGGCUUCUGUUACUCCAUUGAAAGUCCAAUUUAAAGAUCCAAAAAGGUUUUAAAAGCAUAAUAAAAUAAAUAAAUAAAUAUGAAUAGAGUGGUUUAAUACAAAUCUUGUAAAAAGAUACGAUCGCAUUAAAUGAUGAUUAUUUAAUUUGGUCUUUUUUGCUUACCUGGACUUUCAGUGGACGACCAGAAACCUCUCAGGUUUCUUAAAAAAUAUCUUGAUUCAUGCCUUUAAGAUUACCCAAAGACUUAUGGUUUUGGAAUAACAUAAGGGUAAAAAAAUUAUGACAGAUUUAUUUUGUGGGUGGAUUGUCUUUUUAAAAUAUAGAUACAAUAAUUAAUAGAAUUUUUUUUUUUUUUUCAAAAAUAGGUCAGUGUUUGAGUUUUAAAGUAGCUUCCUGUAAUCUGGUUUAGCUGCAUGAGAAAUAUCUAAAAACAGGGCUCUUUCAUGAGGAUUACAGAGGUAUAAGAAUGUUUUUGGUCUUCGGGCAGGUUUAGCGCAGACCUAGUUCAUCACUGUAUUGGACUGCAGAUAUGCACCGGAGGCUUCGCUUUAUUUAACAUCAGGUGUGAAGGAGCAACCCACUUCGAUUGUUCACUAGUGUUGCUGCACCUCACCUGGCAUCUCCACACCUGCCACGGGAAACCUUAAUUAACCAUUGCCUUGCCAUUUUUAGACUGUUGUCAUGGUACCCCUGCUGCCACCAUCCUAUGUGGUUGUUCCUCGCAGACAAUGUGUGGUAUUUUUUCCUUCCCCAGUCCUCCACCUUUGAUGAGAGGUGUGAUGUCUUGGAGGUUGUGCUGCUGUUUGUUUAGGAUGCAGCAGAGUGGCACGAAUACGUGUUUGAGUGCAGUAGUUCGCUCGUGACUGAGACAACCUUUCGCUUGUUAGUUCCUGUGGUGUGGCACUGAGCCGGGCAAAUCCUUCUUCUCUUCCGUCUCCCUGUUGCUCGCCCUCCAUCCCACGAUGCCAGCUGCUUCUGCUGUCCGCGCUCCAUGGGUACCGCCUGUGUCUCAGCAUGCUGACCGCUGUGCCACCACUGAGCAAAGCGCUUCUGACCUCAGACGAACACUGGGGCAUCUGGGGAAAUUAGUGGGAGCCUGCGCUCGCCUCGCUUUGGAUGUUGUCUCCUUGAUUAUUUACUCAAGUCUUUGGCUGUGACGCUCAAUAUUGUUUAAUCUCUAAUUUUUUCUCCCCUUGUUCUUUCUUCUGUAUUUCUCUCUGCUGUGUGCACAAGGGGACGCCGGUCAGGUGAUCGGACCCCUGACGGAGGGUCAGAGGAGAAACAUCGCUGUGGUGAACUCGCUUUUUCUGCCGGCAGCAAGCUGUGGCUAAAACGAGUGAGCACAUCGCUGGGAGUCAAGCGCUGGGAGAUUUGAUCCCAUACAGCACCAUAUUGCAUUUCCUGUUCACUCGUGCCCCAUCUGAACUCAAAUCACCACAUCAGGGGGGCACGGGAGGCAUAUGUGCAGUCUGUCAGAGCCAGGAGUUUGUCCCGGUGUAUCCCAUCAUGCUCCAGUGGAUGCAGAAGGCCACAAGCGUCUCAUAGGAUCUGCAAACAGAGCCAUGUCUCAUCAGAAUAAUGCAGACAAUUUGUCACACAAUAAACUCUUCACCAAAAGAAGUCUUUAUUAUAUUUCAUUACAUUAUGAUGAUUGUUGAAGUAAGAAAUUAAUGUGUAUAGGUUUACAAUGUCUUUUAUAUGAGUUGUUUGAUUACGACUGGCUUUAAUAAGAAUCCCUGCAUUUUAAACAAAUCUAUACAAAUUUAAAAAUUAAUCUGUUUUGCUGGGUGCAGCAGAGUGCAAAACUAUUACUAAACACAUUACGCAAAUGCUGAUUAAAGAAUGUCUUAUUACUUCAGCACAGAUGUCUCAUUCAUCACAGGUUUUGAUUUAUAACUAUAACAGUUAUAUAUCUGACGAGUUAGCUUUUCACGUAUUUUCUGAUACAGAAAAAUUGUUUGGA